rnacentral:misc_RNA from 1 species
UCGCUCUGAUCGGUUGGUA